ACUCUCUACCAGUUUUCCUCUAAAUGUCAUAAAAUUUUGCGUUGAUAAGAAGUUUGUAAAACGAAUAAAAACGCGAAAGCUUUGAUUUUGUAAUACAAAAGUAAAGUAAAGUGGGACCGAUACGCCCCAUGAAGCCAGUAGCAAAUGAUCGAUCUUCCGGCUUGAAUUUUCGCAAGAGAUGCGUUAACCCAGUCUUAUAUACAUAUCAGCGAGAUUAACUGGCCAGAAUGCAUAUAUGUUAAUAUUAUGGAGAGUUGUUUUUCGAAAAUUUGACGAAUGUAAAUUCACUUAUGGACAAAAUUUUUGAUGCCAUCAGACAGGAUAUCAAGGAUAUGAGAUCCGCCCCUGGUGAUCCAAUGAUCGGAAGAGUAGAAAGCAAUCAUCAACGUAACUUUGGUAAAGAAGGGGUUCGAAGUUGGAGGGACAGUUGUGAAGCCAUGAAUUCUCAUUGAAGGCCAUAAAUAUGUUCGCAAAUAGUGGGCCUAGGAGGCUGCCCAUAGCCACACCAUCAAUCUGUUGAUAAACUUGGCCGUUAAAGAAGAAAUGACAGUUUUUGACGGAGAGGGAGAGAAGUUGAGUGAAUUGUGAACGGUCAAGGCCUUGAAAAAACGUGUUAUUCUCUGGCCACGAUUUUAAAUAAAGUCAGGAUUUCCUAGGUAUGCUGUACAUUAACUUUCCGAGUAAUAAAUUAUGUAAUUUUGUUGCUGUGAUGCUGUAUGCAUUGUUGGUGUAGAGUUGAAAUUUUUUGUUUGCUUAUUUUAUUUUUGUUUCAAUGUGAAUAUAUACUCAAGUCUAA